rnacentral:rRNA from 1 species
GACGGAGGGUGCAAGCGUUGUUCGGAAUUACUGGGCGUAAAGCGCGGGCAGGUGGCCCCUUAAGUCCUUUGUGAAACUCCGGAGCUCAACUCCGGACGUGCAUAGGAUACUGGAGGGCUAGAGACUGGUAGAGGCGAGCGGAAUUCUCGGUGUAGCGGUGAAAUGCGUAGAUAUCGAGAGGAACACCUGCGGCGAAGGCGGGUAGCUGAGCCGACACUGACGCUGAGGCGCGAAAGCCAGGGGAGCGAACGGG